rnacentral:rRNA from 1 species
CGUGAGUGAUGAAGGUUUUCGGAUCGUAAAGCUCUGUUGUUAGGGAAGAACAAGUGCGAGAGUAACUGCUCGCACCAUGACGGUACCUAACCAGAAAGCCACGGCUAACUACGUGCCAGCAGCCGCGGUAAUACGUAGGUGGCAAGCGUUGUCCGGAAUUAUUGGGCGCAAAGGGCUCGCAGGCGGUUUCUUAAGUCUGAUGUGACA